GACGAACGCUGGCGGCGUGCUUAACACAUGCAAGUCGAACGGUAAGGCCCUUCGGGUACGACGAGUGGCGAACGGGUGAGUAACACGUGGUGAUCUGCCCUGCACUUCGGGAUAAGCCUGGGAAACUGGGUCUAAUACCGGAUAGGACCAUGGACUUCACGGUUUGUGGUGGAAAGCUUUUGCGGUGUGGGAUGGGCCCGCGGCCUAUCAGCUUGUUGGUGGGGUAAAUGGCCUACCAAGGCGACGACGGGUAGCCGGCCUGAGAGGGUGUCCGGCCACACUGGGACUGAGAUACGGCCCAGACUCCUACGGGAGGCAGCAGUGGGGAAUAUUGCACAAUGGGCGCAAGCCUGAUGCAGCGACGCCGCGUGAGGGAUGAC
rnacentral:rRNA from 1 species